UACGGAGGAUGCGAGCGUUAUCCGGAUUUAUUGGGUUUAAAGGGUGCGUAGGCGGCAUUAUAAGUUAGUGGUAAAAUAUUGGGGCUUCACCUCACUACGCCAUUAAUACUGUAGAGCUAGAGAACAGACGAGGUAGGCGGAAUGUAUGGUGUAGCGGUGAAAUGCUUAGAGAUCAUACAGAACACCGAUUGCGAAGGCAGCUUACCAAGCUACUUCUGACGUUGAGGCACGAAAGCGUGGGGAGCAAACAGG
rnacentral:rRNA from 1 species